rnacentral:rRNA from 1 species
AUGAAAUUAAGAUCAAUUGCAGGGAUGCAUAUCGACAUACUGAACACAAUAAUAAUAACUAGCUUUCUUAUUCCUUUAGAACCUAUCAAAACACCAAACAGAUUAACAACAUAUAUGCAACAACAUGACCACAAUGAUGUCUCACUUUUGGAAAACAGCUUUAGUGACAUCACAACAUUGUUUAUCAAUUUAAUUCAUUUUUCUGGAAUUUCUUAUUUUUAUAGUGGUGUGAAUUUUAUUGGUCAACGUUUGACGUGCAUUGCACGUGCAAGCUUACUAGUAGCUGGAGAGUGCGAACUAACAUAA